CAAUAGCGUAUAUUAAAGUUGUUGCAGUUAAAAAGCUCGUAGUUGGAUUUCUGAAUUGAAUAUCCGGUCCGCUCGUCUCUGAUGAGUGCGUACUUGUGGAUAUUGGAUUCAUUUUUUGUGAGGACAUUUAUCUGUCAUUAAGUUGAUGGAUUUAUAGACUUGCAUCGUUUACUGUGAAAAAAUUAGAGUGUUUAAAGCAGGCGUUCGCCCAUUUGAAUACAUUAGCAUGGAAUAAUAAGAUAUGACUUUGGUGGUCUAUUUUGUUGGUUUGCACACCAGAGUAAUGAUUAAUAGGGACAGUUGGGGGUAUUCAUAUUUCAACGUCAGAGGUGAAAUUCUUAGAUCGUUGAAAGAUGACCUUAGGCGAAAGCAUUUACCAUGGAUGUUUUCAUUAA
rnacentral:rRNA from 1 species